rnacentral:rRNA from 1 species
AUUGAACGCUGGCGGCAGGCCUAACACAUGCAAGUCGAGCGGAUCGGCGGCCGGGUGCGUAAUGCCUAGGAAUCUGCCUCGUCGCGGUGGAGAACGUUCGGAACUGGGCGCUAAUACCGCUUCCUUUCAGUUUCGCCUAGACCGGUUUAGAUAGUUCGGGGGGUAAAGGUCUACCAAGGCGACGAUCCGUAACUGGUCUGAGAGGAUGAUCAGUCACACGGGAACUGAGACACGGACCAGACUCCUACGGGAGGAAGCAGUGGGGAAUAUUGGGCAAUGGGCGAAAGCCUGAUCCAGCCAUGCCGCGUGUGUGAAGAAGGUCUUCGGAUUGUAAAGCACUGUAAGUUGGGAGGCGUUACCAACAGAAUAAGCACCGGCUAACUUCGUGCCAGCAGCCGCGGUAAUUC